AGAUGAAAACUACGACAAACAAUUCAAUGUCAACACGACACCAACACAAUAGCUAUUAUUGUAGUUACAGAAAACAGUAUGAAUGUAUAUAUUUUCAGGAUCGCUGUUUUUUGUCGACGUGUGACAAGAUUUAGGCGGUAUGCUAGAUCGUUUUUCAAUUAUUUAUCGCGACAACAAAUUCGUUAAGUUUUCUAAGUUUUUGCUUGCGUGAAACGGGCUACGAUUUCAUUUGUAUUCUGAAGUAUUUGUUUUUUAGUUUUUAUUGGGGAAUUUUCGCAGGGGGCAGGCAACAAAGCAGUAUACAUUGGGCCCUGCUUAGUAAUUCAUUAACUCUGGAUCAAUUUGUGAACUCGCGAACUCACGCGUGUGUGUUUAAGCGCAUUGGUGUGAGCAAGGCUUGAAAACUGUUAUUUUGACGUG